rnacentral:rRNA from 1 species
UACAGAGGGUGCGAGCGUUGAUCGGAAUUACUGGGCGUAAAGCGUGCGUAGACGGUUAUUUAAGUCGGAUGUGAAAGCCCCGGGCUCAACCUGGGAAUUGCAUUCGAGACUGAAUAGCUAGGGUACGGUAGAGGGAAGCGGAAUUUCCGGUGUAGCGGUGAAAUGCGUAGAUAUCGGAAGGAACAUCAGUGGCGAAAGCGGCUUCCUGGACCAGUACCGACGUUCAGGCACGAAAGCGUGGGGAGCAAACAGG